UUUCUUAACACCUGUCUGUGUUUUAAAAGUUACGCUUGUAUUUUAUUUUAUUUUUCGCUAAGUAUGGACGCGACAAAAAGCCCUAUUCAGUAUUCACAACUACGUGUAAUUUGAUUUCAUUAUAAAAUGAUCCGCAAUAAAAAAAUUUGAAAAGUGUAUCUCACAAUAUGAUUGAUUCAUUAAAUAUGGGUUCAAAGGGGGGGGGGGGGCAUUCGUUCCCUUCAAUUCCCAAUAAAAUACGCCCCUGCUCGUACGUCGUUGUUUUCGCGUUCGCGGGACGACGUGGAGUUAUGCGAUCGAGCGAGGUGCACUACGGCUGCGUGUGACGUCCUGACGUCGUUUUCUCUCUGGUUCGUGCGUACGGCGUUACGGUCAAAGGUGACGGAGACGGUGUUUCUCACGUAACGGAGCUCCGACGAAUCCCGACGGAAACCAUUAUUUUCGCUUCGAUGCGUCUUCGAUGUUUGUUUUGCCCGUACAACGGCUUCUAACGGCGUCGGACGAGGAUUCUGAAACGCUACCCGUGGAAACCAAAAAUGAUGAUCGUAGAAAAAAAAACCAUCUUCCUAAUGCCCUCCGGUGAGAGAAGGACACAUGGUUUUCGUUGAUCGAAAAAAAGUUUGAAGAACAAGUUUACAGCUAUGCAUGCAACAGUUUCCAUCCCGAUAUAUUAUAUGGCAUAUAAUAUGUUGGAUGGACCAAAUUAUUUUUUGAGGAAGGAAGGGAUGGACGAUGUUUUGAUGUAUGGCAGUGAAUACAUAUAGUUAUAUAAUAAAAGUACACGGCAUCCAAUUUAUAAUUUUAUUAUAAUUGUACAACGUGCGUCUACUAAGAAACCUGAACAGAAAUGCAGUGAGAACAGUAACUACGAGAUGUCCAAUCAAAGUUGUACAAUUUGUAUAGGUGUCAAAAUUCCAUACAUUGGCGCUCGGGUAAACGUACGUUCAUAAAAAAUGUUGGCUAUCGUUUUUAUGCCACACAUUUUCCUAGUCAUGUUAAAGUUUCAUUGCCAGCCCUGUCUCCAACAAUGGAAAGUGGCAUUUUAAUAAGCUGGGAGAAAAAUUGAAUGAAGGAGAUAAACUAGCUGAAAUCGAAACAGAUAAAGCUAUAAUAGAUUUUGAAACUCCCGAGGAAGGAUAUCUAGCUAAGAUUCUUGUAGAUGCUGAUUAAAAAGAUGUUACUGUUGGAAAGAUCAACCUGGUAUACAGGAUCUAUAUUGUGAAUAUCUGAAUUUGCACAUACACAUUGGGCAACACUUUCUGCAUUACAUAUCAAGUAUAUUCCACAGUUAUAACUGUUUUGUUGUUGCA